GGCAGCACGGAGCUUGCUCUGGUGGCGAGUGGCGAACGGGUGAGUAAUAUAUCGGAACGUACCCUGGAGUGGGGGAUAACGUAGCGAAAGUUACGCUAAUACCGCAUACGAUCUACGGAUGAAAGUGGGGGAUCGCAAGACCUCAUGCUCGUGGAGCGGCCGAUAUCUGAUUAGCUAGUUGGUAGGGUAAAAGCCUACCAAGGCAUCGAUCAGUAGCUGGUCUGAGAGGACGACCAGCCACACUGGAACUGAGACACGGUCCAGACUCCUACGGGAGGCAGCAGUGGGGAAUUUUGGACAAUGGGCGAAAGCCUGAUCCAGCAAUGCCGCGUGAGUGAAGAAGGCCUUCGGGUUGUAAAGCUCUUUUGUCAGGGAAGAAACGGUGAGAGCUAAUAUCUCUUGCUAAUGACGGUACCUGAAGAAUAAGCACCGGCUAACUACGUGCCAGCAGCCGCGGUAAUACGUAG
rnacentral:rRNA from 1 species